UCUUUAGAAGAGAAUUGAAAAGGUCUUUAUUGUCAAAAAAAAAAACAGUGAAAAUCAGUUUAGCACUCUCCGGCAGCAUUAAAAAACAAACUAUGUAAGGCAAUAUUAAACACAGAUUAAAAUAUAUAGAGAUACAAUCGAAAUAUAUGAGCAGAACCUUUACGGAACCACUAAUUCUGUCUAAUUUUAGAAAUAUACUUACAUUAUUAAAUGACAAGUUAACAGUUUCAUGUAAUUAAAAUAAAGAAAAUAUUAGUGAAAUAUCAAUACGUUUGCAAACCGUUUUCUAAAGCCUUCAAGAAUAAAAUAAAUCUGUAAAAAAAAAUGUGAAAUUUGAUGGUUAUUUGCAGUUUUUAGUGGUACUUUGGAUGUGUAAAUUUCAUGGGUGAUUUUUGUAUUUUUAUUGAUUUUCUUUUGUAUUUCAACCCUACGUAUUUGGUUAAAAUCCCUACAUCUGUGCAGCUGUGAUUCCCACACCUGUCUGUAUGUGAAGCAGUCAGCAGCCUUCCUGCCUGUCAGAUCACACUCUGGGUAUAAAACACUCCGUGGACGUUUGUUGUUGUCCUGCGGAUGUUCGAUGAUUCUUCAAUCUACCACCUGGGGUCCGUUUCACGAAGCAGGUUCAACAAACUCUGAGUUUAACCCUGAACUCUGAGUUGAUCUACUCUGAGAUAGAAAACUCUGAGUAUUCGGUUUCACAACGGCUGAUCUGAGUUGGUUUAAUCAACUCGGAGUAGUUUCACCCGGAGUUAAGCGCGUGCACCACAACUAUAAAAAGACAGCAUCAAUGGAACCCCGAUUCGACGAGUCACCAUGGCAACAGGGAAGCGGAGAGCUACGUUUUUUACACCACUUGAACUGGACAUCUUAAUUCGUUCAUAUUGCAACUACGAACACGUUUUUAGAAAGAAGUGCAACACCUGCAGCUGUAAAAGAGAGGGAGACGGUGUGGGAGAACAUUGCUGCCCGAGUCAAUGCGUGCAAUCCUGCAGGGGAGAAGAGCAUGUGGCAGCAGCUGAAGAUGAAAUAUAAAAACAUUUUUAAAACAGCCAACAGAAAGAGAUGCCCGUAAAACAGGUGGUGGCCCAGCACCACCACCUGUAACGGAGGCAGAGGAGCUGGUCCUAAGCCAGAAUUUGGGAAGGCCAGUGGCUGAAGGAAACCCUGGAGGGAGCUCAUCCUCUGAGACCACCCCCCAAGACACAAGUGCUUUUAUAAAAUAUUCUGAUGGUGUUAUCUGCCUGGUGGAGCCCCUUCACACCACAACAGAGCUUGUAACUGAUGAAGAGGAUGAAACUGUGUCUGCUGCCUUCAUAGAGGGGGAUCCAGAAAGGCAUACAGAGAGCAUGGCUGGACAGCAGCAGGAUGCUUCCUCAACUUCCACUGCACAGAUUGACACAGUUUCCCAGAGACUAUGGGUUGAGGAGGAAUUGGAAGUUUGUCGGCUUAGACCUGGUGUCAUUCCAUCAGUGUUAAACUUCCCGGUUCAUCUUGGAAGAGUACGUGCCAGAAAGACCACGACCAAGCAGCCUUGAGAUCUUAGGCAGCGUCUCCCUGAGGUCCCUCUCUAUCUCCCCACACAUCCACCAACCACUGGAACACAUCUCCAAAGUUCUGCUGGGCCAGCUCAGCUUCCCCUCAGAAGAAGUGGCGCCACCUGCCAGAUGAAGGAGCUUUUUGAGAGGCAGCUGGCAUCGUGAUUGGACUGUACUUUGGUCUGUUCCAAUCCAGCUUCAGCUCCAGAGACGGCAGGCGGGACGAGUCAACGGAGGCCUGGUGGACGAAGGCAUGCAGCUGAGUACAAUCCAGAAAACAACAGAGGAGGAGUGCAGCAGCCCAGAGCCAGAACAACCAGAGUAGCAUCGUAUGUCCCUUAGAAAACAUCAUAGUAGAGCCUUUGGGAUGAAAAAACACCAUCAUAUACAUCGUAUAUUGUACAAAUAAGUCAAAGGAAAGAGACAUACAUUGUAGAAUUGUAGUAAUUGUGGGCUGACUGAUUUACUGAUUAUCAGUAUUUUAUUUUUUACUGAUUUAUGGUAAUAAAUC
ensembl:lncRNA